rnacentral:lncRNA from 1 species
GAAAAAAUUUAAUAUGUUUGAUUAGAUCUGCUUGUUUUUGCAAUCGGUAAAUCAGCCAUAGUUCAUGCUUUCAAAUUCUGAGAUAGGCAAUUUAAUAGAAGCAUAAACAUGGAGAAAAACAGCAAGUGCAAUCCUGCCCUCCUCACAAAAAGAGUUUAUACCACUUCAUAUGGUAAAAAAUAACCAAUGACAUCCAAUAGAAAAAACAUCUGAAAGUACUUUUCAUUGUUUAACCAUUAUAAGUCAGCUGUGGAGGCCUCUGGGAGGAAAAUAAGAUUAGAUAACUAGGUAAUAACCAUAAACGAUGCCCUUUUUAAGAAAUCCAAUUGUUGUUUAUCUUAGAAUCUAAAGCAAUGUAAUGAGAUGCUUUUGUUCAUAAAAGUCACUCAAAAUCCAGAGUUAUAAAUGUCAACAAGCUGCAUGAAAGCUCAAUUUUAAGAUUUAGUACUAUGUACAAAUGAAGACAAAAAUAAGCACAAACAUAAGAGUUGCAUUUUAAUAUAGGUAUCCAUUAUCUAAUGUUUAUAUAAUGGAAGCCAAAUGACUUCAUUAUUAUCUGUGCUAUUACACUGAAUACCAGAUGAACUCAUCAUACAGGCAUACUUGCUUUAAAACCUAUUACAGCCCCAUCAAUGACAAGAGCAACAUAUAUAUGCAAACUUCUUUAGAUGACUAAUUUGAUUUUUGUGUUAACUGCUAAUGUGUUAUUAAUCAACAGUUCAUUAUACUUUUAGAUAACCUUAGUUUAUUUCUGCUUUAUUUGUACACAACUCAUUUCUGUAAUGUCUUGCUCUAUAAAAUUUUAUUCCUAUUUAAACAUUAUUAUCCUUAGAUAAUAAACACAUAUAUGCAAAUAUCAGAUGGAAAAAUAUUGAACCUACUAAAUU